AUUUCAAACUGUUCUAUCGCCCCGGUGAAAACCGGGGAGGAAAGUCCGGGCAACACAGAGCGCCAUACCUUGUGAAUAGCAGGGGUGAGGCAAAAGAAAUUUUGCUUCAACAGAAAGUGCCGCAGAAAAAAGUAGCCCUGAUAUGCGCAAGCAACAUCAGGGUGAUAGUGAAAACGUGAGGUAAGAGCUCACGCGCUCCGCCAGCAAUGACGGAAUGGGGUAAACCUUAUGGGUUGCAAGGUCAAAUAAGUUCCGGUAAAGAAAACGGCUCGUUAAUCCGCCUCAGGUGGGCCGGAACGGGUAGACCGCAAAAGAUAAAUGAUAGAAGUCAUGGCGUUAACCGUCAUGAUACAAAACCCGGCUUAUAGGUUUGUUAUGAUA
rnacentral:RNase_P_RNA from 1 species